UACGUAGGGCGCAAGCGUUGUCCGGAAUUAUUGGGCGUAAAGAGCUCGUAGGUGGCUUGUCACGUCGGGUGUGAAAGACCGGGGCUUAACCCCGGUUCUGCAUUCGAUACGGGCUGGCUAGAGUGUGGUAGGGGAGAUCGGAAUUCCUGGUGUAGCGGUGAAAUGCGCAGAUAUCAGGAGGAACACCGGUGGCGAAGGCGGAUCUCUGGGCCAUUACUGACGCUGAGGAGCGAAAGCGUGGGGAGCGAACAGG
rnacentral:rRNA from 1 species